GAAGCGGCAACAGCUCAAAUUUGAAAUCUGGCGCAAGCCCGAGUUGUAAUUUGUAGAGGAUGCUUCUGGGCAGCGGCCGGUCUAAGUCCCUUGGAACAGGGCGUCAUAGAGGGUGAGAAUCCCGUAUGCGACCGGCUGGCACCCGUCACGUAGCUCCUUCGACGAGUCGAGUUGUUUGGGAAUGCAGCUCUAAAUGGGAGGUAAAUUCCUUCUAAAGCUAAAUACCGGCCAGUGACCGAUAGCGCACAAGUAGAGUGAUCGAAAGAUGAAAAGCACUUUGGAAAGAGAGUUAAAAAGCACGUGAAAUUGUUGAAAGGGAAGCGCAUGCAACCAGACUUGCGGGCGGUGUUCCGCCGGUCUUCUGACCGGUCUACUCGCCGUCCGCAGGCCAGCAUCAUCUGGGUGCGCCGGAUAAAGGCGUGGGGAAUGUGGCCCCUCGGGGUGUUAUAGCUCCACGCACAAUACGGCGCCGCCCGGGUGAGGUCCGCGCUUCGGCUAGGAUGCUGGCGUAAUGGUUGCCUGCGACCCGUCUUGAAACACGGACCAAGGAGUCUAACAUCUAUGCGAGUGUUCGGGUGUCAAACCCCUACGCGGAAUGAAAGUGAACGGAGGUGGGAAGCUUCGGCUGCACCAUCGACCGAUCCUGAUGUCCUCGGAUGGAUUUGAGUAAGAGCAUAGCUGUUGGGACCCGAAAGAUGGUGAACUAUGCCUGAAUAGGGUGAAGCCAGAGGAAACUCUGGUGGA
rnacentral:rRNA from 1 species